GAAAGUUGCAGUGUUUCCCUCUUGGACACUGCUGUAUUUCAAAUAAACCUGCAGGGGCACAGUGAGGAAACGGCAUUUACUGCUGGCACUUCAUCCUUUUCAGAAGGCUUUUACCAUCCUGCUGACUGACAAUGUAGAUCCCUAAUUAACAGUGAAGAACCAGUCCUGGGAGUCCCCCUGGCAACAUGCUUUGAGGGCACGGCGGUGGGAGGACCAAACCACUGACCAAAAGAAAGAGCCUAUCAUAAGUAGAAGAUCCUGUAUUUUCUUAUACUUCAAGAAGAUGAUAAACACUUGCCUAAUGCUUUAAAUUUACCAGGUGCUUUUAACAUGGAAGAUUUUUGUCAAAGGUGAAAUCUACUUGAACAAUUUAGAGAUCUUUUGGGGAUUUUCAAACUUUUUUAAAAGCGGUGAAUUCCCUAUAUAUGUAAAAGAGUUAAAAGUGAAAUACCUCCAUACCACACACUAUAUACAAAAAGUCAGUCAAAAUGGAUCAGAGUCCUAAACGUAAGCUAUGAAACUAUAAAACUCUUUGAGGAAAACAUACAAGUAAAUCUUCGUGACACGGGCUAAGCAGUGGAUUCUUAGAUAUGACACCAAAAGCACAAGCAAAAAAAGAAAAAAAAUAGAAAAAUUGGACUUCCUCAAAAUUAAAAAUUUUUGUGCUUCAGAGGACAACAUCAGCGUGAAAAGACAACCCACAUGAUGGGAGAAAAUACUUGCAAAUCAUAUCUGCGAUAAGGGACCUGUCUGUAGAAUAUAUCAAGAACUCUUACAACUCAAUAAGACAUAUAACCUAAUGAAAAAUGGGCAAAGCAUCUGAACAGACAUCUGUCCAAAGAUGAUAUACAGUGGCCAAUAAUCCAAUAAUAAGGACACGACAAAAUACUCAUUAGUUACUAGGAAAAAAUAAAGCUGUUAUUUAAAAAAUAACAAGUGAAAUAAAUAGUCUCCUGCUUUGGGGGAGUCAAAGUCACACUCAGAAGCACCUCACUGAAAUGGAGAAAACAGACCCAUCUCUUUCAGCACCCCAGUCUUUAAAUCAGGCAUAAUGGUUCUUCUGGUUUGCCAAAGCAAGGAAUUCUAAAUUCCUUUUUUUUCUCCCUUCAAAUAAAUGGUUUUUAAGUGAGAGCAUCCAUUAAGACCGGGUUGCCAAAGACUCAGCCUUUAUAAAUUAUAGAUUUUGAAAUAAGAGGUUUUUAAGCAGGCGAGUAUAAAGCAAAGCAACGCAAAGGGUAAGGGAAGUGGUCCCGUAAGGCAUGGGCAGCUCCUCUCGUAGCUCCCGGAGCACUUCAACAAGAAAUGGUUCGGCGAAGCCCAUCUGAUAGAAAUCAAAACAGAAUGAGCCCUUCAAAAUUGCCAGCUACUCAAAGGACUGACUCAUUUCCUGACUUGGCAGCCACUGUCUGAUGAGUCAGCCUGACUGAAUGUGCCCUGACCAGGUUCUACAGCUAUAAUCAAUCUUUACGACACAAAAGCUUGUAUUUCAAUAAGGCAGGAAGUGUCAUAGGUAAUGUUUCAGGUGGCAAAGGUGACAGAAGGUUCAUUAGGGAUAAAGAUGGGAAAAAACCCAGCUCAAGUGAGGAGCCAAUGAAUAGAAAACACUUCUGAGACUGCAAUCAGGAGACGGCGUCCCUGAUAGACACAACUUCUCAGGCUUCCUGCAGAGCCCAGGACUUCGAGCACCGACUCUGUCACCUAUACAUUGUGACCCCAGUCACCUCAUCCAUAAAGUGACCCACAAGGUCAGUUACAGGUCUAAACUGUGAUGUACUUUACAUAAUGAUCUCUGCUCAUCUACCAGGUGAGGCAAAAGCUAUGCUUCACACCUUUAAAAGGUUGGUUUUUUUUCCUAAAACUAUUCCUUUAUAUGACAGUGGAACAGUGGGGAAAAAAGUCACGUUGUAUUUUACCACAAAUUGCCAUUUUCCAUCGGGUCACUGGGCAGAAUUCGCACUGAAGCUGUCUUCCCGCGUACCACCGUCCAUUAAACAGAGAAAGGGCUGCUUGGCAUUCUUCUUCCCUUGAAACCACAAAUUAAAGGAUGCACUUUAGAGUAACUUUCUAAUAUGCAGAUUAACCCUAUUGUUAAUUAACCCUUGUAUUUGUUUAGUGUAGGACCACCUAGUUCACUGCUUUUGUGCUACCUAGGGAGUCCUUAUUACAGCAUUCAAGGUCCUUGAAGCUCACCUCAUUCAGGAACCAUUUUGUUUUUUAGUUUUUUUUAACCAACCCUCCCAGAGGUUUUGAUGCAAGGAAAUCUACUUGAGUCAAAGCUUCUUAAACCAAAAGAUUGGACCAUUAAAAAUGCAGAAGUGUU